rnacentral:rRNA from 1 species
UGUACGACUCUCGACAACGCAUAUCUCGGCUCUCACAUUGAUGAAGAACGUAGGGAAAUGUUAUACUUGGUGUGAAUUACAGAAUCCCGUGAACCAUCGAGUCUUUGAACGCAAGUUGCACCUGAGGCCUUUCGGUUGAGGGCAUGCCUGCCUGGGUGUCACGC